rnacentral:rRNA from 1 species
AUACGUAGGUGGCGAGCGUUGUCCGGAAUUACUGGGCGUAAAGGAUGCGUAGGUGGAUACUUAAGUGGGAUGUGAAAUCCCCGGGCUCAACCCGGGAACUGCAUUCCAAACUGGGUAUCUAGAGUGCAGGAGAGGAAAGCGGAAUUCCUAGUGUAGCGGUGAAAUGCGUAGAUAUUAGGAGGAACACCAGUGGAGAAGGCGGCUUUCUGGACUGUAACUGACACUGAGGCAUGAAAGCGUGGGUAGCAAACAGGAUUAGAUACCCUGGUAGUCCACGCCGUAAACGAUGGGUACUAGGUGUAGGAGGUAUCGACCCCUUCUGUGCCGUCGUUAACACAAUAAGUACCCCGCCUGGGGAGUACGGUCGCAAGACUAAAACUCAAAUGAAUUGACGGGG